UCUGAAUGAUGAUCAUAAUCUUUGGUCCGUGUUUAUGACGGGAUUAAGACCCCCGGUAUGAGUGACAAAGAAGACGUAUUUUUAAUACAUGGCUGACGAA
rnacentral:snoRNA from 1 species